rnacentral:tRNA from 1 species
UCCCAAGUGGUCCAGUGACUUCGACUCUGCACUCCCAAUGCAGGGGACCAGGGUUCAAUUCUUGGUUAGGGAA